CCUGAGUAGCUGGGAUUACAGGCACCCACCACCAUGCCCAGCUAAUUUUUAUAUUUUUAGUAGAGACGGGGUUUCACCAUGUUGGCCAGGCUGGUCUCGAACUCCUGACCUCAACUGAUCCAUCCAUCUCGGCCUCCCAAACUGCCAGGAUUACAGGUGUGAGCCACCAUGCCUGGCCGAGAAUGUCUUUCUUUUUUAAGGCUUCAUAGUAUUCCUUUCUGUAAGUAUGCAACAUUGUCUUUAUCCACUCAUUUGUUGAUGCACAGUUAAGUUGAUUCUGUAACUUGCUAUUGUGAAUAGUGCUGCAAUGAACAUGGGGUAUAGACAUCUCUUCAACAAACUGAUUUUAAACCUUUUUGGUAAAUACCCAGAAGUGGGAUUUCAAGAUCAUAUGGCAAUUUUAUGUUUAGUUUUUUGAAGAACCUCCAUACUGUUUUCCAUAUUGACUAUACUAAUUUAUAUUCCCACCAACAUUGUACAAUUGUUCCCUUUUCUCCACAUUCUUGACAACAUUUAUCUUUCAUAUUUUUGAUAAAAGCCAUUCUGACCAGUAUGAGAUGAUGUCUCAUUAUGGCUUUAAUUUGCAUUUCCCUAAUGAUUAGCAAUAUCGAGUAUUUUUCAUUAUAUCUGUUAGCCAUUUAUAUGUAUUCUUUUGAGAAAUGUCUUUAUCUCUGGAAUGCAAGGAGGGUUCAACAUAUGCAAGUCAAUAAAUGAUAUGCCACAUUAACAGAAUAAAUGACAAAAAUCAUAUGAUUAUCUCAUCAGAAGCAGAAAAAAAUUGACAAAAUUCAACAUCCCUUAACCAUAAAAACAAUCACCAAAUUAGGUAUACAAGAAAGGUAGCUCAACAAUAAAAGCUAUCCAGAGAUGCUGACAGCUAACAGUGACUCAGCAGUGAAUAACUGAAAGCCUUUCCCCCAAGAUCUGGAACAAGACAACAAUGCCCACUCAACAUGGAAUUGGAAGUUCUAGACAGAGCAAUUAAGCAAGAAAAAGAAAUUGGCAAUAGAUUUAACCAAGGAGACAAAAGACUUAUACAACGAAAACUAUAAGGUGUUGAUGAAAUAAACUGAAUAAGACACAAAUAAAUGGAAAGAUAUUUCAUGUUCAUGGUUCAGAAGAACUAAUAUUACUAAAAUGUUAUACUACCCAAAGUGAUCUACAAAUUCAAUGCAAUCCCUAUGAAUAUCCCAACAUCACUUUUCAUAGAAAUAAAAAAAAAAUCCAAAACUUCAUAUGGGGCUGGACAUGGUGGCUUACACCUGGAAUCUCAGCACUUCGGGAGGCCGAGGUGGGAGGAUCACCUGAGAUCAGGAGUUCGAGACCAACCUAGCCAACAUGGUAAAACCCCAUCUCUGCUAAAAAUACAAAAAUCAGCCAGGCAUGGUGGCACUCACCUGUAAUCCCAGCUACUUGGGAGGCUGAGGGACGAGAAUCACUUGAAGCUGGGAGGCGGAGGUUGCAGUGAGCCUUGAUUGCACCACUUGCACUCCAGUUUGGGCCAUAGAGUGAGACUCCAUCUCAAAAAACAAAACAAAACAAAAAUUCAUAUGGACAACAAAAACCUCAAACAACCAAGGCAAUCAUGAACAAAAAGGACAAAGCUGGAGGUAUCACACCACCAGAUUUCAAAGUAUACUACAAAUCUAUAGCAAUCAAAACAACAUGGUAUUGGAAAAAAAAAAAAAAAAAAAGACAGACACAUUGACUAAUGGAGUGGAAUAGAGAGCUUGGAAAUUAACCUACUACUAUACAGUCAAUUGAUUUUCAACAAAGGUACCAGAAUACGCAAUAGGAAGAGGACAGUCCCUUCAAUAAAUAGUGUUGGGAAAAUGAAAUUUCCACCUGCAGAACAAUAAAAUUGGACCCUUAUCUCACACCAUAUAUAGAACUAAAAAUCAAAUUAAAAUGAAUUAAAGAUUCAAACGUAAUACCAGAAACUCUAAACUUACUGGAAGAAAACACAGGGAGGAAAAACUACAUGACACUCUCUGGGCAACGGUUUUUUGGAUGUGACCCCAAAAGCACAGGCAACAAAAGCAAAAAUAGACAAAUCAGAUUACAUCAAACUAAAAAGCUUCUGCAUAGCCAAUGAAACAACCAACAGCAUGCAGAAACAACUCACAGAUUGGGAGAAAACAGCUGCAAGCCAUACAUCUGACAAGGGAUUAAUAUCCAAAAUACAGAAGGAGCUCCAACAACUCAAUAUUAAGAAAACAAGAAACCCAAUUAGAAAAUGAGCAAGGGACCUGAAUACACAUUUCCACUAAAGUUUUUAAGACAUAAACAUACUUUGGCAUAAACACUGUAUUAUAUGCAAUUACUUUUUGUAAAUAAUUUUUGUAAAGCCAUCAGAUAUAUAUCCAAAUGAUUUUUCACCUGAGUGUAAGACAGGAAAAUGUUUAAAUUAAUACAUAAAUCAAAUCAUCUGCACUGGCAUUGUUAACCUAGAAGAAAGUGGCUGCAUAGAGAAUAGUAAAAGCAAGGAUAUUUAGUCCAUACUUUCAAAUGGGGCUUGAUGAUUUGAAACAACAAAGUUGUUCACUGGCAGAAUUUCCCACCAAGUCUGUAUAAAUUAUGUGCUAUUUGAUAAAAGAUAGCCUGAAUGAAGCUAAUUUUUUUAUCUUCAGUAUUUGCUUUAAGAGAAAAAUCCUGAAGCUUGUAGGGAUUUCUAAUGCCAAAAAAGAUGAUGAAAUGGGAGAGUAUAUUUAGCAAUCAUGGUGACUAAGCUCAUGGUAACUGGCAUAUGUAAAAUUUUAGUUUGCAUUCCAAUUACUUAAACUGAGAUGUUCUUGAUCAGUUGAACAUACUGUGAGUAGACGAUCUCUUUCUCAGAGAAACAAGAUGGAGAGAUCUUCAGAGAAUGGCCCCACUGAAGCUCAUUGGUAAAUGAGCUUUCUCCAGAUUUUGUUGAUUUCCUGAGUUUUUCCAUAAUUCCUCAGUUCCCUGGCCAUUUUCUGAUAGACCAUGGUCUUCCUAUUGCCCUUUCUUAUUCCUCAAAGUUUGGCAAAUUUUUCUUCAUUUUUUGAUACAAACUGGAAACUGCCUUUGGUUUUAUCUACUUACUGAAUGCAGAUGCCAUCUUGGGAUUAUACUGAGAUUUGUGAAGUUAUUCAAACAGUCAGAGAAGCUUCCCGCCUUGUCCUCCCUGUUGCUGGAAAACAGCAGACUGCACCAGCUGGCUUUCAGUUAUGUUCCACAAAGAUCAAUGAAUGGUUCCUUCAAAAUAGAAGUCUGCAGCAUUAUUUAUUAAAGUUCUCCAAUUAUAAAUAGAUUCCUCUGUAAGCAACAUUCCAUAGCAGUUGGAAUCUCCUCUGACAUGGGUACAAUCACUGAUGAAAACCAGGUAAGUUUUGAAGAUCUCCAGUUGAAUGUUGCCUCAGUACCUCAAAAGCAUCUUCAAAUGCUUGAGCCAGCUUGUCUCGUUCACACAAGUUAUGCUUCACUAAUAAACUGAUGAUUCUGUCCAUCAGUGCCCAAUCUAGCAUGUACUUGUAGAUGUGGAGAUAAUCUUCCCUCCUCUGAAACACACAUCUGCACUCCCCACCACCCACUUUAAUUUUGUUAAAGCAGUUUUGAGUUGGGUUUCUGUCAUCUGCAAAGGAAAAAGUCCUGAGUCAUUUAUACCUAAGAAUCAGAUAAUUUAAGUAACAGGCUCUAACAUAUGAAAAUAGCUGAGAUAGUGUGGGGUGCAAAACAGAGAGGAGAUAAUUAUUCCCAUCCCUAAAUAAUAUUUGAAAAGUUUUGUUAUACAGUAGAAAUGCAACUGGCUAUCCAAUGAUUUGUUAAAUCUUUGGACUCAGCCCCAAGAAAAAUAGCAAGAUAUUGAACAUUACUUGUGGCCUCAAAUAAUAUUAUAUGAGAAAAGCAGAAGUUCAGUCCAAGCUAUACUAUCUAAAAGCAGAGAGGGAAUAAUGAAACUUCAUUUUUUAGAAAAAUCUUUAUACCCAUACCUUGCAAUCCUUGAGGACUGGGAGUCAGAAUUUGAAAAGGCCAAAUUCUGCAUCCUAAGCUAAAAUUUGUGAAGACAAAAGCAAAGAGAUAAAGAAAUACCAUACUAAAAUAUUGGGAAAGAAAUUGAAAGGGACACAACAAAAUGAAAAGAUAUUCCAGAUUCACGAACUGAAAUACUUAAUAUUGGUUAAAUUAUAAUACUACUCAAAGCAAUUUACAGAUUAAAUGCAAUCCAAUUACAUUCUCUACAGAAAUAGAAAAAAAUCUUAAGACAUAUAUGGAACCACAAAAGACCCCAAAUAACCAAAGCAAUCUGAGCAAAAGGAACAAAGCUGGAGGCAUUACACUACCUGACUUCAAAUUUUACUACAAAGCUAUAGUAACCAAAUCAGUAUGACACUGGCAUAAAAACAGACAGAAUAGACCAAUGGGACAGAAUAGAGAACGCAGAUGUAAAUCCACACAUUUACGGCCAGCUCAUCUUCAACAAAGGUACCAAGAACAUAUAAUGGGGGGAAGGAUAGGCUUUUCAAUAAAUGGUGCCAAGAAAACUAGAUAACUAUAUGCAGAAGAAUGAAACUGGAUCCUUCUCUCUUACCAUAUACAAAAAGCAAAUCAAAAUUGAUUAAAGAUUAAAUCUAAAUCCUCAAACCAUGAAACUACUAGAAGAAAACAUUGAGGAAUCACUCCAGGACAUUGGUCUGGGUGAAGAUUUUUUUAUGUCAGAUCUCAAAAGCAUAGGCAAACAAAGUAAAAAUAGACAAAUGGGAUUAUUUCAAGCUAAAAACUUCUGCAUAGCAAAGGAAAUAAUCAAUAAAGUGAAGAGAAAACCCACAGAAUGGCAGAAAAUAUAACUAACCACCUGAGACGGGGUUAAUAACCAGAAGGUAUGGGGAGCUCAAACAACUCAAUAGCAAAAACAAACAAACAAACAAAAACAACAUAAUCCAAUUUAAAAAUGGGCAAUAGAUCUGAGUAGACAUUUCUCAAAAGAAGCCAUACAAAUGGCCAACAGGCAUAUAAAAAAUAUUCAACAUCACAAAUUAUUAGAGAAAUGCAAAUCAAUGAGAUAUCAUCUCGCCCCAGUUAAAAUGGCUUUUAUCAAGAAGACAGGCAAUAACGCAGGCUAGCGAGGAUGUGGAAGAAAGGGAACCCUUGUACACUGUUGGUGGGAAUGGAAAUUAGUACAGCUACUACACAGAAUAGCUUGGAGGUUCCUCAAAAAACUAAAAAUUGUGCUACCAUAUGAUCCAGGAAUCCCACUCCUGGGUAUAUCUCCAAAAGAAAGGAAAUGAAUAUAUCAAAGAGCUAUCUGCACGCCCAUGUUUAUUGCAGCACUAUUCACAAUAGCCAAAAUAUGGAAUCGAUCUAAGUGCCCAUCAACGAAUGAAUGGCUAAAGAAAACGUGGUAUAUAUACACAAUGGAAUAUUAUUCAUCUGUAAAAAGGAAUAAAAUCCUGUCAUUUGCAGCAACAUAAAUAAAACUAGAAGUCAUUAUGUUAAGUGACACAAAGAGACAAAUACUACGUGUUCUCACUCAUAUGUGGAAGCUAAGAAAAAGUGGAUCUCAUGAAGGUAGAGAGUAGAUUGGUGGUUACCAGAAGCCAGCAAGGGUAGCAGAAGUAGGGGAUUCAAAGAAGUUGAUAAAUCAAUACAAAUAUAAAGUUGAGAGAAGAAAUAAGCUCCAGUGUUCAACAGAUGAGUAGGGUGACUAUAGUUUACAAAAACAUACUGUACAUUUCAAAUUAGAAGAGAAAAAUUCAAACAUUUCUAGGAUAAAGACAAAUAUUAAGGUGAUGGAUAUCCCAAGUACACUGAUGUGAUGUAUACAAAUUAUAUGAAUGUAUUAAGUUAUCAUGUGUGCCCUGAAACUAUGUAACUUAUUAUCCAUCAAUUUUUUAAAUUGUUGAAAAAAUGAUUAAAUGAAUAAAUAAAAUAUUGGGUCUUGGAUGAGCCAGAAAAUUUGGGAAGUCUGAUUCUCUCUCAAAUAUUAUAUUCUAGGUAUUCUUUGCCAGACAAAAGCAUCAUAUCCCUUAUAAAAAUGCAUCCAGUAGGUUAUAAUCUUGGGGGAAAUGCCACAUUAUUUAGCUUCAUUUUCCCCUUCAAGUCUUUCACAUUGUUCAAAGCAGACAGCAAAGUGAAAGCAUUAUUUUGGGAGAUGGGGAAAAGCCAGAAUAGAUUAUUGGCAAGAAAUAGAAACCACAAGAUGAGGAUCAAGAGUCAAGGUCCAGGUUUAGACAAGAUCUCUGGAUGUGGUUAUUAUGCCACAGAAUCAUCAAAUGUCAACUGAGGUUUUAAAUACUGCUUAAAAAUGCCAAGCCUGGAAAUAGGUGCCUGUAAUUCUUCAGUCCUUCAGUAAAUACCCAGGCUAUUAAAGUAGGUAAUUCCCAGGAAUGAAAUCCUCCUUGCACCUCUCUUAGGGGUGGCCAUGGAGGACACAAAACACAGAUAUUUAUCUUUGGAAGAAGGAGGUAGAACUGUUUUUGAAAAUAUAUAUAAAGUAUAGUUGUGUUUGGAGAAGCAGAGGCAUUUUUGAAACUAUAUGUAUAAUUAGAAUGGUAUGUGAAUAUAUAUACAACCAAAGACAAAGGGGUAAAAUGGGGUAAAAAUCUACUAUUAUUCACUAUACGGCACUCAUUCUCAACUACCUUCUCAGAUCUAAACUCUACUUUUCUGUAGAGAACCCCUUCCCUGUGGUUAGGACAGGGCCAACACUGACUUGCCACCAUGACGACAUCAGUGGGUACAUGACCUAGACUCAGCAAAUUAUGCUACCCAUAACAUCGGCUACCAUGAUCAUUUAAGAUCUGGACAUGAAAUCUAAACUAGGUUCUCCCUGGACAUUUUCUGAAAGGUAUUAGAGAGUGGGUGUAGUGGCUCACACCUGUAAUUCCAACAUUUUGGGAGGCUGAGGUGGGAGGAUUGCUUGAGCCCAGGAGUUCAAGACCAGACUGGGCAACAUAGGGAGACCUUGUCUCUAUGAAAAACAAAAAAAUUAGCUGGAGGCCGAGGCGGACGGAUCAUGAGGUCAGGAGAUCGAGACCAUCCUGGCUAAUAUGGUGAAACCCGUCUCUACUAAAAAUACAAAAAAGUUAGCUGGGCAUGGUGGUGGGCGCCUGUAAUCCUAGCUACUCGGUAGGCUGAGGCAGGAGAAUGGUGUGAACCCGGGAGGCGGAGCUUACAGUGAGCUGAGAUCUCGCCACUGCACUCCAGCCUGGGUGACAGAGCGAGACUCCAUCUUAAAAAAAAAAAAAAAAAAAAAAAAAUUAGCCAGGCAUGGUGAUGCACACCUGCAGUCCCAGCUACUCAGGAGGCUGAGGUGGGUGGAUCACUUGAGCCUGGGUGGUCAAGGCUGUGGUGAGCUGUGAUUGCACCACUAUACUCCAGCCUGGGCAACAGAGCAAGACCCUGUCUCUAAAUAAAUAAAUAAAUAAAUAUAAAAGUAAUUUUUUAUUAUACAUUAAGUUCUGGGAUAUAUGUGGAGAACGUGCAGGUUUGUUAACAUAGGUAUACACGUCCCAUGGUGGUUUGCUGCACCCAUCAACCCGUCAUCUACGUUAGAUAUUUCUCCUAAUGUUAUUCCUUUAAAAUGGAAGGUAUUAGGAAGAUUUCUUUCCACUGUCGGUCAGGAAUGAGAUGGAUGUGGUGCUACUGAAGGUCGCCUUGCCACUCUGUAGUAAAAGAAACCUCUGCAACGAAUUUGAGGAAAUCACAGCUGACAGAUGUAAAGAGGACACAGAGCCCUCCUCACAUUGUUAGAAUUCCUGGAACUAAACAAAUCACUCCUUUUACCUUCCAGCUGUGUAAGCCUCCUCCUCAAAAAAAAGAAAAUCAUUUUUUGUGUAAGCUAGUGUUUUCUGCAAUUUAAAGCUUUAAAAAUCCAACUCAACAACAAAACACAACCCAAUUUAAAAAGGGACAAAAGACUUGAAUAGACAUUUCUCUGAAGAUAUAUAAAUGGCCAAAAAGCACACAAAAAGAUAUUCAAUGUCAUUAGUCAUUAGAGAAAGGCAAGUCAAAAGCACAAUGAGAUAUACCAUUUUACACCCACUAGGAUAGCCAUUUCUUAAAAAUAGAGAAUAAAUGUUGGUAAAGCUGUGGAGAAAUUGGAACCUUCAUACAUUGCUGGUGGGGAUGAAAAAUGGUACAACCACUGUGGAAAACAGUUUGGUGAUUCUUCAAUAAACACAGAAUUAUCACAUGACCUAGCAAUUCCACUCCUAAAUAUGUACCCAAGAGAAGUAAAAGCAGGUGUUCAAAUAAAAACGUUUCCAUUUGUUUACAAAAUGUUAUACACCAGUGAACACAGCAGCUCUAUUCACAAUAGCCAAAAGGUUAAAACAAUCUAACUGUCCACCAACAGAUGAAUAAAAAAAAUGUGUUUUGAUACCAUAAAGUUAAAUGUUCUUCAUCCAUAAAAAGGAAUGAACGAAAAAUACAACAUGGAUGACCCUCAAAAACACUAUGCUAAGCUGGCCGGGUGCAGUGGCUCAUGCCUGUAAUCCCAGCACUUUGGGAGGAUGAGGUGGGCAGAUCAUGAGGUCAGGAGUUCGAGACCAGCCUGACCAACAUGGUGGAACCUCAUCUCUACUAAAAAUACAAAAAUUACCUGGGCAUGGUGGCGCACGCCUGUAGUCCCAGCUACUUGGGAGGCUGAGGCAGGAGAAUCACUUGAACCCAGGAGGCGGAGGUUGCAGUGAGCUGAGAUCGUGCCACUGCACUCCAGCCUGGGAGACAGAGUGAGGAUCUGUCUCAAAAACAAACAAACAAACAAACAAACAAAAUUAUGCUAAAUAAAGGAAGCCAGACACCGAAGACCACAUAUUGAAUGAUUCCAUUUAUAAGAAAUGUCCAGAAUAGGCAAAUCCAUAGAGACAGAAAGCAGAUUAGUGGUUGCCAAGUGCUGAGAAGAGAGAGAAAUGGAGAGUGACUGCUUAGUUAGCAUUUCUGUUUAGGGUGAUUUUUUAAAGUUCUGGACCGAGAUAGAGGUGAUGGCUGCAUAACAUGGGUGAACAGGCUUAAUGCCACUGAAUUGUACACUUUAAAAUUGUUAAAACUUCACCGUGAUUUUAAAAAUGUUAAGGUCCCUGACUAAUUUAAGCCCACUCUGCACCGUGUAGUCAGGAACUAGGACUUAGAGCUGGCAUAGAGUGGGAAUUUGUCAAAUAAUCACCAUCAUUUUGGAUUCUUAAUGAGUUGCCAACUGUCCUAAGUAUUACUAUUUUACAUAUUGUAAUGAAUGCUUUGUGAAACAAAAGCUUUUGUGGUUGUUGCUGUUGAUUACAAAUUUUAUCUCUUUUUUUAACUUUUAUUUUAGGUUCAGGGUACACAUGCAGGUUUGUUGUACAGGUAAAUUGAGUAUCAUGGGGGUUUGGUGUACAAACUGUUUUGUCACCCAGCUGAUAAGCAUAGUACCCAAUAGGUAGUUUUUGAUCCUUAGCCUCCUCCCACUCUCCACCCUCACAAAGGCCUCAGUGUCUACUGUUCCCUUCUUUGUGUCCAUGUGUACUCAAUGUUUAGGUCCUACUUCUAAGUGAGAACAUGCAGUAUUUGGUUUCCUGUUCCUGCAUUAGUUCACUUAAGAUAAUGGCCCCCAGCUCCUUCCAUGUUGCUGCAAAGAACAUGAUCUUGUUCUUUUUUAUGGAUGCACAGUAUUCCACGAUGUAUAUGUGCCACCUUUUCUUUAUCUGGUGUAUUGAUGAUGGGCAUUUAGGUUGAUUCCGUGUCUUUGCUAUUGUGAGUAGUGCUGCAAUGAACAUAUGAGUGCGUGUGUCUUUAUGGUAGAACAAUUUAUUUUCCUUUGGGUAUUGGUAUGGUUUGGCUGUGUCUCCACCCAAAUCUCAUCUUGAAUUGUAGCUCUCAUAAUCCCCAUGUAUCAUGGGAGGAACCCAGUGAAAGGUAAUUGAAUCAUGGGGGCGGGUUCUUCCCAAGCUGUUCUCAUGAUAGUGAAUAAGUCUCACAAGAUAUGAUGGUUUUAUAAAGGGCAGUUCCCCUAUACACACUCUCUUGCUUGCUGCCAUGUAAGAUGUGCCUUUGCUCCUCUCCACCUUCCGCCAUGAUUGUGAGGCCUCCCUGGCCAUGUGGAACUGUGAGUCCAUUAAACCUCUUUUUCUUUAUAAAUUACCCAGUCUUGCAUAUGUCCUUAUAGCAGUGUGGUCUACUGCAGGUAUAUACCCAAUAAGGAGAUUACUGGGUCAAAUGGUAGUUCUGUUUGAAGCUCUUUGAGAAGGCUCCACAAUGCUUUGCACAAUGACUGAACUAAUUUACAUUUCCACCAACAGUGAAUAAGCAUUCCCUUUUC
rnacentral:lncRNA from 10 species